rnacentral:lncRNA from 1 species
CUAUUAUUAAUUUUUAUUUGAUCAUUGUCCAGUCCUCGUAAUUAUUGUCCAGUUCUUGUGGAUCAUUGACUGUCCAGUCAAUUUAAUGCUUGUCCAGUUGAGUUGUUAUUAUAGUUAAGUGCACAUUGUAUGUGAACUAUAUACAAUCAUUUAUAUUUAUUAUUGAAAUUUAUUUCAAAAGAGUUGAAUUUUAACUCUGACAGGG